rnacentral:tRNA from 1 species
UUUAUAUAGUAUAAAAAUUAUUUUUGACUUCCAAUCAGAAGAUCUAUGUUAAUAGUAUAAAUAA